CGUAGGGACCGAGCGUUGUCCGGAUUCAUUGGGCGUAAAGAGCUCGUAGGCGGCUGCUCAAGUCGAAUGUGAAAACUCGAGGCUCAACCUCGAGCCUGCAUUCGAUACUGGGCGGCUAGAGUCUGGUAGGGGGAUCUGGAAUUCCUGGUGUAGCGGUGUAAUGCGCAGAUAUCAGGAGGAACACCGGUGGCGAAGGCGGGAUCCUGGGCCAGUACUGACGCUGAGGAGCGAAAGCGUGGGGAGCAAACAGGAUUAGAUACCCUGGUAGUCCACGCCGUAAACGAUGGGCGCUAGGUGUGGGAGGUCAUCGACUCCUUCUGUGCCGCAGCUAACGCAUUAAGCGCCCCGCCUGGGGAGUACGGCCGCAAGGCUA
rnacentral:rRNA from 1 species